CUAUGUUUUCCAUAAUGUAUAGCCUCACUGUGAUAAUUUAGUCCAGAUUUUAAGAGUCUAGGUGUAGUGGUUUUCAAUCAGGAUCAGUUCUAAUGCGGUCUGGACCCCUAAAAAGCAUUAAAAUGUGCCUUUAUUGCAUUUUCACAAAUAGGGUAAAGGUUUCACAAAUCUGUAACUAUGUUUUAUAUAAUGUAUAGCCUCACUGUGAUAAUUUAGUCCAGAUUUGAAGAGUCUAGGUGUAGUGGUUUUCAAUCAGGACCGAUUUAAGGUGGACCAGCAACUGCCAAAUCGGAUGCUGCGAAUCGGAUGCCAACUUCAGCUCUGCCUUCAGAGGCCGGACAUUUCUGGACUUUUGGAUGCAGCGACGCAGCGAAUAUCCGGCGCUUUCAGACAAGGCUGUGCGCUUUCUCAUUCCACUCGCGACCAGGCUUCUCUUGGUCGCAAAUGGUCGCAAAUAAGAGCGAUGACUACUGUCAUGUCAUCGCUCUUAAUUUAUCCCAAAAAACGCAGCUGAUCGGACGCAUCACACGAUUCGGAGGCAUGCAUCACAUUUAAGGAUUUUAAAAACUGAUUCUGAUACUUUUUUUUUCAGAAAUGCAUUCGGAAGAGAAGGGAGACUAGCGUUGCUCACGGGUUGGAAUGAAAGGGAGAAAAGGGGACAGAGUUGCCUGCGGAAGCGAUGUCUGAGAUGCAGAGACUGCUUCACGCUACCAGUGUCAGUUUCGUACGGUGUGGAAUGAGAGCUUGUGAAGGCACUAUUGCGCAAGUACGCCUGCGUGCUUGCACAAUAGCAUACUGCCCGAGAAGCAGUGUUGUAUAGUAGCGAAGUAGAAAUACUUCGUUACUGUACUUAAGUAGUUUUUUUGGAUAUUUGUACUUUACUUUACUACUUAUAUUUCUCUGUACUUUUACUUCGCUACAUUUUGCGAAGAAAACGGAUACUUUUACUCCGCUACAUUUCCCUUGAAACCUUCGUUACUCGUUACAAAAUCAACUCAUCUUUAGAAAAAAAAAAAAGAAUCAUGAGAGAUAUGAGAAUAA